rnacentral:tRNA from 1 species
UAACUCAGUGGUAGAGUAUGUGCUUAGCAUGCACAAGGUCCUGAGUUCAAUCCCCAG